GACGAACGCUGGCGGCGUGCUUAACACAUGCAAGUCGAACGGAAAGGCCCUGCUUUUGUGGGGUGCUCGAGUGGCGAACGGGUGAGUAACACGUGAGUAACCUUCCCUUGACUUUGGGAUAACUUCAGGCAACUGGGGCUAAUACCGGAUAGGAGCUCCUGCUGCAUGGUGGGGGUUGGAAAGUUUCGGCGGUUGGGGAUGGACUCGCGGCUUAUCAGCUUGUUGGUGGGGGAGUGGCUUACCAAGGCUUUGACGGGUAGCCGGCCUGAGAGGGUGACCGGACACAUUGGGACUGAGAUACGGCCCAGACUCCUACGGGAGGCAGCAGUGGGGAAUAUUGCACAAUGGGCGGAAGCCUGAUGCAGCAACGCCGCGUGCGGGAUGACGGCCUUCGGGUUGUAAACCGCUUUCGCCUGUGACGAAGCGUGAGUGACGGUAAUGGGUAAAGAAGCACCGGCUAACUACGUG
rnacentral:rRNA from 1 species